GUUGUCAUGGAGCUUUUGUGACCCAGCUGCUUCAAACACAUCGCAAGACCAUCAACAGCUAUUUAGACUCUCAAAAUCGAGCACCGGAGAGCUGCCGGGAAGCACAUUUCUUAAGAGAGUUAACAGAACAUCUCCGGAGAAGUGGGCAAGGCAGGCGUAGGCGGAACACAAACACACACAGACAUUCCCGAUUCCUGCCCCAGGAGGGAUGCCGCCAGGAUGUCUGGAACAUUCCACGUCACCAUCCAUAUGUAAACUGGCACAUCUUCUCUUGCCUUUGCAUGCUGCAGCCUGAACUCCAUCCUUCAGCUUCCACACGUAUAUUAAAGCCAACCCCGGUUUCAUCCUCAAAACUGGUCUGAAGCUCCACAGUAUCUGCAGGUAUUUGCAUCCUGCCACCUUCUUGAGGCCCGGCCUUCCCUCUUCCCAACCAUUUAAUUCAAGUAGGCAAAGAUGAAGAAGCUAAGGGUUUAGGACAGAAUGGCAUCCGGGGCCAGCCUUAACUAGGAGGAGAACUUUAAGUUCCUGAAGUCAAGGACCAACACAAGGAAGAACUUGCUGAGCAGAGAUGGUCCUAGAGCCUCCAGACAUGAGGCAUAGGCAAAGUCCUCCAGAACUGUGCACUUGAAGGUGAAUGGAGGAUGAGAAAGGAGCGAUGCUUGCGGAAGAGACUGAUUGUAGAUGCUAGGGGGAAAGGAUGGACAGAGAGAAAGGGUAUGGCUGUGGAGAUGGCUCAGCCAACAAAAGCUUGCUAUGUAAGUAUGAGAGCCUGACUUUGAACCCUAGAAUCCUGUAGAAAAGCUGGGCACAGUGGCAUGUUAUCCUAAUCCCAGUGCCGGUGAGGCAAAGCAGGCAAACUCCCGAGACUCACUGGAUAUCUCACCUAGCCAAACUAGCAAGAUCCGAGCCAGUGAGACUCAGUCUCACUCCCCACCCCCCACAUCCCAACAUGGCUUGUGUCUUGAGGAAUGAUACUCAAGGUUGCUUUCUGAUAUCACAUCCAUAUGUGCACAUGUAGAGACACACAAACAUACACACAUACACACAGGCACAUAAGCAAACACAUACACAGAAUGGAAUGCACUAGGUUAGAGGCAGAGCGAGCUUAAAUAUGAAUUUUGAACUGGGCACCCAACUAGCAAAUGGCUUUGUGUUUUCUUCAGUGGCUCUCAGAUGGAGUCAGAGCUCCAGUGGAUAUGUUGACAGCUUUCCCCUUUGGCCGGAUGCUGGAAUUCAGGACAUGUCCCCAUAGUAGACUGUUCUUUCUAUGAGCUUGGAAUUGAGUCAUGGCCCACUCGCUUGCUCAUCUGUGAGGCUUGAAGAAGCCAGGUAACAGUGCGGGGUGGGGCAGGCAUUAGCUGGGUGACUUGGGCAUUAAACAGAAGCUGGCUCGGGAGUUUAAAACAGCUCUGCUCGGAAGAUAAACAAGAAGCACUAAAGACACUCACUUGGGGAAAAAGCUGCCAACUGAGGCUUCAUAAUUCACUUCUACCUAUGAGGUUCAAGUACCAUCAAGUCUGAAAUUACUCGCAAAGCUUCUACCCUGGAUUUACUUUCUAUAUAAAACAACACUUCACAGAGUAAGUUAGGGGAUGCCACUGAGACCAGUGAUGUGUUUCCAGAGGGAGAUUCUGCCAAUGAAUCGGCAACACUAAUUUUUUUUUUUAACAUUCUCUGGGAAAAUAUAACAAUUUAGUAUGUUUGUAAAACUGGAUAAGCACCAGUGAUGUUGUCCUUAACCUU
ensembl:antisense Gm26911 predicted gene, 26911